GCUCCAUGCUGAGACUUGCUAUGCAGAGUGUUUGCUUCAGAGAGCUGCCCUCACUUUCCUGCAGGAUGAAAGUAUGAUGAGUUUUCUCAAAGGAGGGAUGAAAGUGCGCAGCAGCUACAUGAUUUACAAAGAGCUCCAUCCGCUCACCCAGGCUCGCGACUUCAGCAAAGGACCGAACCACAGCCACCUGGAAGGGGGGGUGUCGCUGGGGAUCGGCU